UACAGGGGGUGCAAACGUUGCUCGGAAUUAUUGGGCGUAAAGCGCACGUAGGCGGUUCGUUAUGUCGGAUGUGAAAGCCCUCGGCUCAACCGAGGAAUUGCGCUCUAAACUGUCGUGCUAGAGGAACCUAGAGGUGAGCAGAACUGAUGGUGGAGCGGUGAAAUGCGUUGAUAUCAUCAGGAAUACCGGAGGCGAAGGCGGCUCACUGGGGGUUUUCUGACGCUGAGGAACGAAAGCCAGGGGAGCGAACGGG
rnacentral:rRNA from 1 species